rnacentral:misc_RNA from 1 species
CAGUGGUGGAGGAAUGAAGGGAAACAAUGAAUCAAUUCCCGUUAAACCUACAUAUCAAAAUUCAUUGUUGAAUUUGAAUAAUACAAAUGGAAGGGGUAUUUUGCCAGGUGGUAUGCCUGCUACUGCUUAUCAAGAUCCUAGAUUUGGCUUUGAUGGGAAGUACAGAAACACUGGUGUUACUUCAUUUUUGAAGGCUAAUAACAUUCCAUCUUCGAGGAACCAUAAUUUUCGGCAAAACUCCAAUUAUAUGGGCUUGCAUCAACCUGGUCCAAUGUCUGACGUGGGAUCAACUCAUGGAUACAUGAACGUUUUGUACCCAAACAAGUUUUAUGGUCAGUAUGGGAAUACUUUUAGAUCUAAUAUGAGCUUUGGAUCUACUGGUUAUGAUUCAAGGAUGAAUGCAAA